rnacentral:rRNA from 1 species
AAGAAGGUUUUCGGAUCGUAAAGCUCUGUUGUUGGUGAAGAAGGAUAGAGGUAGUAACUGGCCUUUAUUUGACGGUAAUCAACCAGAAAGUCACGGCUAACUACGUGCCAGCAGCCGCGGUAAUACGUAGGUGGCAAGCGUUGUCCGGAUUUAUUGGGCGUAAAGCGAGCGCAGGCGGAAGAAUAAGUCUGAUGUGAAAGCCCUCGGCUUAACCGAGGAACUGCAUCGGAAACUGUUUUUCUUGAGUGCAGAAGAGGAGAGUGGAACUCCAUGUGUAGCGGUGGAAUGCGUAGAUAUAUGGAAGAACACCAGUGGCGAAGGCGGCUCUCUGGUCUGCAACUGACGCUGAGGCUCGAAAGCAUGGGUAGCGAACAGGAUUAGAUACCCUGGUAGUCCAUGCCGUAAACGAUGAGUGCUAAGUGUUGGGAGGUUUCCGCCUCUCAGUGCUGCAGCUAACGCAUUAAGCACUCCGCCUGGGGAGUACGACCGCAAGGUUGAAACUCAAAUGAAUUGACGGAAG